CAGUCGCCGCGGUAACACGGAGGGGGCUAGCGUAGUUCGGAAUUACUGGGCGUAAAGCGCACGUAGGCGGCUUGGUAAGUUAGAGGUGAAAGCCCGGAGCUCAACUCCGGAAUUGCCUUUAAGACUGCCGAGCUAGUAGGUGAGAGAGGUAAAUGGAAUUCCGAGUGUAGAGGUGAAAUUCGUAGAUAUUCGGAAGAACACCAGUGGCGAAGGCGGCUUACUGGCUCAUUCUAGACGCUGAGGUGCGAAAGCGUGGGGAGCAAACAGGAUUAGAUACCCCCGUAGUCCCUGUCUCUUAUAC
rnacentral:rRNA from 1 species